CACGUAGGGCGCAAGCGUUGUCCGGAUUUACUGGGCGUAAAGCGUGUGCAGGCGGCUGGCCAAGUGGUGUAUGAAAUAUCCAGGCUCAACCUGGAGGGGUUAUGCCAGACUGGUCGGCUAGAGUGCGAGAGAGGGGCGUGGAAUUCCUGGUGUAGCGGUGAAAUGCGCAGAUAUCAGGAGGAACACCAGCGGCGAAGGCGGUGCUCUGGGCCGGAACUGACGCUGAGGAGCGAAAGCGUGGGUAGCGAACAGG
rnacentral:rRNA from 1 species